rnacentral:antisense_RNA from 1 species
UGUUAUGGCGGGUUGCGCAGGGACUCCUUCGGGAGUGCCGGGUUCCUAUAUCCCCGGUCCGCCAACCUUGUGCAAUCCGUCACCCUU